rnacentral:rRNA from 1 species
CAGCCGCCACGGUAAUACGAAGGGGGCUAGCGUUGUUCGGAUUUACUGGGCGUAAAGCGCACGUAGGCGGACUUUUAAGUCAGGGGUGAAAUCCCGGGGCUCAACCCCGGAACUGCCUUUGAUACUGGAAGUCUUGAGUAUGGUAGAGGUGAGUGGAAUUCCGAGUGUAGAGGUGAAAUUCGUAGAUAUUCGGAGGAACACCAGUGGCGAAGGCGGCUCACUGGACCAUUACUGACGCUGAGGUGCGAAAGCGUGGGGAGCAAACAGGAUUAGAUACCCGCGUAGUCCCUGUCUCUUAUAC